UUAGGAAUAUUGGACAAUGGGCGCAAGCCUGAUCCAGCCAUGCCGCGUGAACGAUGAAGGCCUUCGGGUUGUAAAGUUCUUUAGCCGAUGAUUAUAAUGACUGUAGUCGGAAAAUAAGCCCCGGCUAACUUCGUG
rnacentral:rRNA from 1 species